rfam:Chlorocebus sabaeus isolate 1994-021 chromosome X, whole genome shotgun sequence.
AAUAUCCCUGAGAUCUAACUGCAGCUUUCAAGGUCCUCUCUACAGUUCUUUCUAAGAGGUCCAAGGAUUUU